AACCCUGGUGAUCUUGCCGGUCGUGAAAAAGAAUUCUGCAAUUUAACACCGGAUCCUGUCCCGUUGCAUUCAGUUCUGCCACCUGUACUUCACCGCAAUUGUUGCGCAAUCCGUUUUAUGUUGGAAUUUGGUUCGAAAUCGUGGCGAUCUCAUUUUUAAUGUUCAGUCAAGAUCUUGCCCGAUCGGUUGUGGAAAAAUCUUCUGCAAUUAAACUAAAUCCGCACACAUAGCUCUCUGAAUGCAUUCCAUUCUGCCACCUGUAGAUCACGGGAAUUGUUCCAUUUUGUUUUGGAAUUUGGUUCCAAAUCUAUGCGAUCCUCAGUUGUAAGCUGAGUCAAAAUACUCUUUCUUUUUUCGGGAAGAAAGACAAUUUAAAGCUUUGACUAAAUGAAUAUCUGUGGGAAAUCGAGAUCCAUCUAUAUUCUCUUGAAGGCGAAUCGCUCACACUGCCCGAAACAACAGAAAACGCAAACGCAGUAAAAGCAAAAGAGUUUGGCGAAUUGAGAGUUGCGUUUCAGUCGUUUGUUUCUAACAUAUGCUUCCACUGACAGAAGAUUUCGUGUUUAUGCGUUUUACUUUCAAACUGGAUUUUAUAACUCUGUCAUCCCGGGUUUGCCUUAGGGUUUCAAUUUAAUGGCCGUAUGGCUGUAUUUAUGGUUAAAUUUUAGAAAUUAGGGUUUCAUUUCGAUGGUCUCGUCGCUGUAUUUAUGGUUAAAACUUAUAUAAAAUAUUAAAUUCUUUUGAUAUAUAUUUAAUUUGUAUAUGAAUUUAUUUAUAAUAAAGGUCUUAUUAUUUGGAAAAAAAAUUGAAUGGUCCAUUGUCAUUGUCCCAGUGAAGAACAGCUUAGCUCGUAUUUUCACUAUUUGAAGAGAAAAAUACAGUGGUAUUAAGGAAAAACUGGAUUUGAUUCCUGAGGUGGAUAUUUACAUAUUUACAAAUGCAAGCCUUGGGACUUUCCAGGAAAAAAAUAUUAGUUGAGAAGACCGCAUAAGAAGCUUGAGAAUGAUUGCUGGUGAUAGAUUUCUUAUUUCAGCUCGCUCAGAAUGUUUUACAGGUCAGAUAUAUCCUUCAAGGAAUGGAAAGAUGAGUCUUGGCCCAAAAAAUUGAGCCGUUAGUGGCUUCGAAUCUGCAAAUAAUGUUGCUAAACGUUCAUCGAUGGGACUCAAAACUUGAUCUCUAAAUGGAUAUUUGGAGGUUCUGUCUCUUUAAACAUAAGAAAUUCUCUCUGUCAAACAUGGAGAAUAAUAAUGUAUCGCUUUUGGAAUUUAAUAAGAAUAACAUUUGGUUUUGGCAAUAUUGAGAGUAAGGAAAGUGCCUUAUGCAAAUUAGUUUUGAUGAAUAGGGCGGCAGAUUAGGGGCAUGGUUUUGACUCCUUGAUGACAGAGUGGCAUUUCUGGAAGAACUAUCCCAUUAUUUUUUUUGGCGUGUCUCUGUAUAAGACUUGGUUUGCAAUUACUUCUGAGCGAUGUAAUCUAAUGGUUGAUUUCAA